rnacentral:rRNA from 1 species
AACGAACGCUGGCGGCAGGCUUAACACAUGCAAGUCGAACGCCCCGCAAGGGGAGUGGCAGACGGGUGAGUAACGCGUGGGAACAUACCCUUUCCUGCGGAAUAGCUCUGGGAAACUGGAAUUAAUACCGCAUACGCCCUAUGGGGGACAGAUUUAUCGGGGAAGGAUUGGCCCGCGUUGGAUUAGCUAGUUGGUGGGGUAAAGGCCUACCUAGGCGACGGUCCAUAGCUGGUCUGAGAGGAUGAUCAGCCACAUUGGGACUGAGACACGGCCCAAACUCCUACGGGAGGCAGCAGUGGGGAAUAUUGGACAAUGGGCGCAAGCCUGAUCCAGCCAUGCCGCGUGAGUGAUGAAGGCCUUAGGGUUGUAAAGCUCUUUCACCGAUGAAGAUAAUGACGGUAGUCGGAGAAGAAGCCCCGGCUAACUUCGUGCCAGCCGCCGCAGUAAUAC